GAUGAACGCUAGCGGCAGGCCUAACACAUGCAAGUCGAGGGGCAGCACAGAAACAGCAAUGUUUUGGUGGCGACCGGCGGACGGGUGCGUAACGCGUAUGCAACCUACCUUUAACAGGGGGAUAACGGAGAGAAAUUUCCACUAAUACCCCAUAACAUCGAUCAAGGCAUCUUGAUUGGUUGAAAACUCCGGUGGUUAAAGAUGGGCAUGCGUUGUAUUAGGUAGUUGGUGAGGUAAUGGCUCACCAAGCCUACGAUACAUAGGGGGACUGAGAGGUUCGCCCCCCACACUGGUACUUAGACACGGACCAGACUCCUACGGGAGGCAGCAGUGAGGAAUAUUGGUCAAUGGGGGCAACCCUGAACCAGCCAUGCCGCGUGCAGGAAGACGGCUCUAUGAGUUGUAAACUGCUUUUAAACAGGGAUAAAGCACAGUAUGUAUACUGUGUUGAAGGUACUGUAAGAAUAAGGAUCGGCUAACUCCGUGCCAGCAGCCGCCGCAG
rnacentral:rRNA from 1 species